GACGAACGCUGGCGGCGUGCCUAACACAUGCAAGUCGAACGAAGCUUCGUUACGCAUUCUUCUGUUGAAGUAUGAUCUGACUGAGUGGCGGACGGGGGAGUAACUCCUUAGUAGCCUGCCCUUCAUUGGGGGAUAGCGUUUUGAAACGAACGGUAAUACCGCAUAAUGUAUUUUGACCGCAUGAUCGAAAUAUCAAAGAUUUAUCACUGAAGGAUGGACUCGCGUCUGAUUAGGUAGUUGGAGCGGCGACGGCCUACCAAGACGACGAUCAGAAGCCGGACUGAGAGGUUGCUCGGCAGCAUCGGGACUGAGGCACCGCUCGGGCUCCUACGGGAAGGAGCAGUGGGGAAUAUUGCAAAAUGGGCGUGAGUCAGAUGCAGCAACGCCGCGUGAAGGAAGGCGGUUUGCGAAGUGUAAACUUCUGUUCUUAGUGGAGAAUAAUGACGGUAGCUAAGGAGCAAGCCACGGCUAACUACGUG
rnacentral:rRNA from 1 species